CUCCACACCAUCUUUGGCCAUUGGAAGUAACAGCAUCUCGAGCGCUUCAACAGUGUACCUACACAAAGGUAUAAAAACAUCAGUGAAGGUGAUGGAGACCAGACCGGCUAGGACUCUGAUACCAAAUGUCUUGAACAGCCUUUGGCACUUGUUACUGUAUUUGCAGUGACGUGCUGAGGAUUUAACUUCCUAAUAGACCUUACAAGAGCAACCAAACAUAAGAAAAAAAAUGGAGAGAAGUAUACCCAAAAGCUUUGAGCGGUGGUACCAAUCCAUGAAUCCCCAUGUUGUCCCUCGUUGCAUCCGUCUUUUUAGGCUGCAAAUCCUCCAUGAGAACCAGGAACAAUGAAAACAAAUAAAAGAAAUCAGGGACGGAAAUUACCUGCAGAGUUCCAAUAAUUCGUGGAGAUGUGCAGUCUUCUGAAACAGAGUCCACGAUGUCCUUGAGCAAAAUUUUCUGAUGUUGGAGCCACUCAGCAUAUGGUUGACGCGUAGAAUACUCUUUCUUAAGGGCGUCGUCGUCCACAACGGCAUGGUUCUCAAAAUCCACGAGAAGCAUCAUACCCGGAUUUAAGCGACCUUUUUUGCUUACAUCCUGGGGUGGCACAUCGACUACGCCGACCUCACUGCCCAUGAUCACGCGGCCACUAUGAGUGAUGUAGUAACGCCCUGGUCGAAGUCCAUUUCGAUCCAGAGUUGCACCAAGAUAACGACCGUCCGAGACUGGGAGAAAUACGACAGACAAUUAAAAGCGCUCUACAACCAACAGGAUUAGCACUUACAAGCAAUAAGCGCAGGUCCAUCCCAAGGUUCCAUCAAAGCAGAAAAGUACUCGUACAGAGCUCUUCUUUCUGGAUCCAUAUUCUUGUCAUUCUGCCAUGCUUCCGGUAUCAUCAUCAUCAUUGCCUCCGGAAGACUUCGACCAGAGCGUACAAGAAACUCCAACACACCAUCAAAUGAACCUACAACAACACCAUUAAAAUCCCUCAAAAUACGCUCGUUCACUCACCGGAGUCGGAGGAGCUAGCGUCAACAAUAGGAAGCAGUUUCUGGAGUUCGUCAUUUGAAAGGUCAAGCGCUCUGCAUUUCAAAAGGCCUUCCCGAGCUCGCAUCCUGCACUCUGGGGUUACUGGUGUUUCUAAAUUCGCAAGAUUAUUACCAAUUGACAUUUCCUCGAAGAGUAUUGAUUUCUCCAUUGUGACCAAGAACUCUCAUUGGUUGCGCCCGAUCCCAGCUAGGAAAUGUGUUUGUUGAAAAUCUUGAAUGCACCUACAAUUACAACGCCACUUAGGUGAAUAUGGAGGAAAUUGAUGUGCUCACCAAAGCCAUAUAGCUUGUAAAUUUGUCGUGACAAAGAUCGGACGCGUAGUAUUUCUUGAGCUGGUCUGGUUUGAGCUGCCCCUUGUAAACAACAGUUCUCGAUGAAAGGGAACAGAUGUAGAAAUCACGAACAGCACCAUGCUGGAGAUUAAGAGCAGCUCGAAUGGCAACCAUGGACAGCUUGCGCAAAAUAUACAUCUGCGGCACAUAUUAAAGUGUCAGUGCGACCGAUGAGAAAAAAUAAUUGUCAAGAUCACAAACUGCCUGUAGUGUUAUGAUCACCUCCAUUCGAACUCGAAGAAUAGAAUGGAAGCCUGUGGCAUAAAGGAACACAUCCCUGCAAACCGGGUAGAAGAGAGGAAUGUGACUUGGAAGCAGUAGGUUAUUCAUGACAGACCAGGGAAUAAAGUUGGAAUGGACCCAUCAGCAUAAAGAACUCAAUCUAACCAGAUUUAUCAUUUCGGUUAAGCACAGGAAGAGAGUAGAGACAAGUACCUGCUGUUCUAAGCUGGCGGACGACCUGGAGCUGCCCGUCAAAAACACUUGCUCCACAACGGGCUCAGUCGCAAGAGCCGAUUUCCCCAGAUCCGAGUUGUCGGUCACAACACUUCGCCAGCCAAGAACCGUGUGUCCAAGAGACUCUGCGACCUGCAGUAGUACGAACACAAAUAUAAAAAUCCAAAAGCGAAAGAGAAAGUCGGCUAAAGACAUCACCUUGUUAAACACGUUUUUGCUUUCCAUCCGCCUCGUCUCGGAAGUGGGAAGAAAAAACAUGCCGACGGCGUACUCGGAUGGAGGGGGAAGUUCACAUCCGAUCUCGUCUUUGGCGAUCUAGGAGAACAACGUUCAAACCAAGAGGGAGAAAAAAAAACUGGAGGGCAGCAUGCACAGAAAGUUACCGAUGCAAAGAAGUCAUGGGGGAGUGCCAAAAGAACGCCUGCACCAUCACCAGUGUUAGUUUCACAGCCACAAGCACCACGAUGUGCCAUUCUUACAAGCAUCUCCAGAGCAUCAGUGACCUGCAAGAGGAAAAGAAAAACGCACGAAAAUCUCAUCAAUUCGGGAUACAAUCCAAUUGAGCUAGAACUUACAGUCUGGCGGCUCGGCUUGGCUGAAAGCUCGGCAACAAAACCCACCCCACACGAAUCCUUGUCCAAUGCAGGAUCGUAAAGUCCAAGAGGACCCUCUGGCAGUUGGGACAUGGACGACAUGGUGACCACGCAGCGGUACAUUCUCCGCUCCCCAUUCCAUCGCUGGAGAUGGCUAUCUAUCCAAAUUUCUCGAGGGCAAAAAACUAGUGUGAAGAACCUUCAGUCCGGCGGUCGCGCAUGACAAGGACGGCACAGCUGAGCUCAAGCGGCUGGAGCAGAUUGACCCCAAAGCGGUAGCUUCCGUUGCUGCUCUCGAUCUCUACGCUCGCACCAAGAAGCCUCGAAUCAAACCCUCGCGCGAGUGAAACGCGGGCGGCAGCGAUCAGGCACACAAUUCCUCGAAAUCUUGAAUCGGACUCGUGGCAUUCAUACCACACCUUACAGCCUUUAUUAAGUUACAUAUAGCUUUAAAAGAUAAAAUGGAAUGCACAAUAUCUGCAAACUUGAAGAUGGUCCUAGACAAAAAUUAUUGGUACUUGUAGAACUGCGCAAUUGACAGUUGUGGUGGUUGCUGGCGAUUGUUUGAGCUAAGCACACAGGCAUCUUACGAUUUGAAAUACUGCGCACAAGCGGGGCACAUGAACGGUACCUGAGUGACACAGUUGACUUCGUUUCUACGUUCUUCCCCUGCUUCUUCGACUAGAUCUGCCCCCUGUUCUGGAUCCACCACCGGUGCUGGAUUGUAGUGGACACAAGGCUGGUGGUACCACAGGUCACAAACGUCACACUGCACCCAGGGAGCAUCGCCUCUAUCUUCCCAACAGUCGGAGCAGCUUUGCAAAUCCUGUGACAGACGAGAGUUCCAUUAAAGAGGAAAAGGAACAAGAAAAUAAAAGACAGCAUACCGUUCUGGCUGUGUUUUUCCUGAGCUCGUCCAGCCUCGCAUCAAUGCUCGAAAGCUGUACACUGAAGAAGCUGAAAGGCAUCACGACGACAUAAUACUCGAGGCCAGGAUGGACUCUGGAUGUUGCUCGGUACGAGACCCACCUGUCCGUGUAAAUCACCCACACAAGCACCUUAAUCCGCUUGUCACCAACAAACAGUUCCUCAGCCUUCUUCGCCGUCUUCUUGUGAUGAGUGAUGGCGUUCUUGGCGACAGAAAAAUGGAGAGCCACGAUGAAGUUUUCGUCUUCCAAAUAGAUGUCAAUGCCAGCGUGGUUAAAGUCGUAUGGGACAUGCGCUGUUCCUUCAACGGAGAGCAGCUUUCCGGACAUUGGUCCAUGGAAGUUGAGGACGUGCUUCACUGUUAUGUGUGCCCUUUUGCCUUGUGCGUAAUAAAAGCCUUGAGUCAUAAACUUUGUGCUGAGGAUUCCUGCCAUCUCGGCAUUCCAGCCGAUGCGAGCCAUGUUGUCGUCCUUAGCAACGGCUUGUACCCAGAAGGUGACCUGCUUCCGCUGCUCAUCGAGGUCAUCCUCGCGCAUGAGUCCAGCUAAGGUGCUAAGCGCAUAGGAAUGAAAAUGAGGGGUGAGAGCCUCGAGGGUUCCAUCUUUGCCCACGUAGAAGCACUUGGGCUCUAGCAGCAGAGGAAGCCUUGGAACUGUUUCUGUGCCCGUCAACUCUUUCUGGAGCUGCUCUCGAACGUUCCCUCCCAGGUGGCGCUGGAUGAACGUACGUAUAUCUGCCUCAAAUGAUAUGAUGCACUGGUGGAACACUUCCAUGUCUGUGUCGAAUUGAUCCAGCAGCCUUGGAACUCGACCUGUUUUAGACAGAUCGACGCGCUGGAACUGAAAGAGGUUGAGAUAGGAUGCCAGUUCUUUGUCCUACAAAGCGCACACAUCUCAGAAUGUGAAGAACAAGACGCCUAAGAACUUACAUUCAGUCCUCCAACAACCAGCUUGCACUUCGGGGCCCUGUGAUGACGAAGAACUUGCGCCAAUACACUUGAAAGUGAAGCACAAAAGACGACGACACAAUACUCGAGAAGGCGGCAGAGAGAUUGUACCCCCGGACUAUCUCUCGCCAUGUUGCCGUCAUCAACGACAAUGGUCAGGUCCACAUUUAUCAUCCUCUUCAAGAAGUUUUCCACGUCGAAGAUCGAUACUUGGCCCGCCUCUAUCGCUUCGAGCUCCUGCAAGGCAGCGUUGUCGUCCACAAAAGCCUGAAACAGCCCAUCCCAGAGCGUAUUCUCCGGGGCCCAGGCCAUUUGAGCUCCGUCGACCAGCAUAAUCCGACGCGGCCGAGACGAGGAGCCGAUCCUGUCGCGCGCGAACUUCCCAUAGAGGUAGAGCACAGACGCUGCGACGCUGCAAGUCUUGCCAGCGCCCGGGGUGCCCGUUAUGUACCUGAAACCGCAAAUACCGUAAGGACGAAGCUGCUUGCGACCGCGCUUUCCUGGAGGCGAGACUAUCUUCGAUUCUGGGAGUUUGACCUCGGGGCGCUCCUCCUCUAUGAAAUCGAUGAGCUCCUUGGUGAGAGGCCUGCCCAUGUAAUGAAACGUCGUCCGCUGCGAGAAAUGGUAGACUUCCAUAACCUUGGUCGGAUCCUGAAGAUCGGCUUCAGUGAGCUGGGCGGAGAAAGCCAUGAGCAGCCCAUGGAUCCUCUCCGCAUCCUCACGACGGACAUCCACAACCCUCUGGCGCUUGACACCGCCGCCGUCUUCCAUCCCAAUACAAAAAACCCUAUCCAAAAACCCUAAUAGUGCAGAGACGUACUUAAACGAUGUACGAAAGGAAUGUAUGUAAAAAAUAAAGAAUUUUGGACUAUUUUCUGCUCACCACUAUCUCUAGGAAGCUAACUCUCAAUAUCUGUGACCUAAAUUAUUUACCUUGGAGAGCUAUUGAGAAUGCUGAAGCUGUGUUUAUAGUUUGAAAAUAUAAACUAUGGGUGCAACACAAUUUGCACAUCAUUUUAUGUCAAAUCCAACAUAGCACUGCCACCAUUGAGUUGCUUUGUCUAGGACAAACAAACUCACUCUUAUUAGCCACUUCACUACUGGAUAUUCUGCGACAUGGUUUAUUAUCGCUAAAUUAUUGUUUUGCAUCUUCAUUUCUCUUUCUUGUUUUUUCUUCUUUCAGUCUCUGGGAGGCAUAUGUAUUCCUUUUCUCUUUAAGGAAUGUUUGGUGGUCUACAAAAUGAUAUAGGAUUGUAAUAGUUAUCUUUGCCACCACUUAAGAUUUACAUUCCCUCCUCCUUUUAUGUCCAUUGCAAUCCUAGACCUUUAGUCAUAAGUUCCACUUGUUUCCUCUUGAAAGGAAUCUCCAUUCCUUAACCAGGAUGCCAGUAGGUAUGGAUCUCUAUGUUGCUUUGUUUAUCCUAAAUGAUCAUCCACCAGAGCUGCUGGCAACGAUCAAAUGGAAAGUUCCAAGGGAUAAUGCUGGCCUGGCUGCGUGAACGAUCAAAGAUCGUAGAUCAGGUUUCGCCACUCUCCCUAUAUCCUCACCGUCUUUGCCUGAUUUCUCCCAAACCAAAAGAAGCAAGUCUUUCCUUGUGGGAUUUGAUUGAUAAGUUGGAGGAAAGCGAAGUUGCUGCUGGUGCUAUUGUUCUUCAUUUGAAUCGUCUGUGUUGAUAGGGCGCCGUCAAAUGCCAGUAUCCGGUUUAGAGCUAAUCUGAAAAUACGCUAAAUAUAAUUUUUGAUUAGAACCACUCAUUUAAUUAGGAUAAAAACCAACCCAACAAAAUUUACAACAGGCAAAAUUUGGCUGUCCAUUUUAUAUCAACAUCCCCAUCUUCUUCCGAGCAGCCUUGAGCUCCUCGCCAACCUUGGAAGUGUCUUCCAUCAGAAACUUGUCAAUCUGUGCUGCCGCUUCCCUCCCUUCGGCAAUCGCCCACACAACCAGCGAUUGUCCUCUUCGACAGUCACCAGCGGCAAAGACACCCUUGACAUUUGUAGCAAAUUUGCCAUACUCUGCUUUAAAUGUGGUUGCUGCAUCAUUGGUAGCCACUUUGAGCUUCUCAGCUACGUCCUAGAAAGUAAAAUCGUCAGCUGGAAUGAAAAGAAAAGAAGAAUUUAGCUCAUUUCACCUGUUCUGGUCCCACGAAUCCCAUGGCCAAGAGCACCAAAUCUGCCUCUAUUAUCUCUUCCGACCCUUCGAUUUCCUCCCUCUGGAAUCUCCCACUCGCGUCCUUAAACCACCGCACCCGUUUGAGCACCAAGCCGCUGACACGGUUAUCACCAUCGGUGAUAAACUUCUUUGUAGUCACCUCGUACGACCUGGGGUCACUACCAAACUUCUCCUUUGCCUCGGCAUGCCCGUAAUCGACGCGGAAAACUCGUGGCCACUGCAACAAUCGCGAGCCGUAAGGAACACUCCAACACAGAGACGAAAGGACAAGAAACUCUUACCUGUGGCCAAGGAUUCCCCGGUGCACGAGUUGCAGGAGGCUGAGGAAGUAGCUCCAGAUUUACAACGCUCUUGCAGCCGUGGCGGACUGCAGUGCCGAUGCAAUCUGUGCCUGUAUCGCCUCCUCCUAUCACCACCACCUUCUUGUCUUUGGCGGAUAUGUAGUUGUUGUCCUUGAGCCCCGAAUCCAGCAAACUCUUGGUAUUCGCGUGAAGAAACUCCAUCGCAAAAUGUAUGCCUUCAUAUUCUCGGCCUUCUACUUUAAGGUCCCUGAAGAAAAACAAAUAAAAAGAUGGUUAGAUUUAGAAACAAGUGAAGAAUUCCAUACCUGGGCUUAGUAGCGCCACAAGCAAGUAGUAAGCUAUCAUAGUCGGACAUUAACCUCUCCACCGAGAAUAACUUGUCAACUCCGACAUUCGCAUUAACGAUGAACUCGAUCCCUUCGGCAGCCAUCAGGUUCACUCGCCGUUGAACGACCUCCACUUUAUCGGUCUUCAUGUUCGGUACACCGUACAUCAUGAGGCCUCCAAUUCUAUCCGCUCGCUCAAACACUGUCACGGAGUGGCCGGCCUUAUUGAGCUGAUCAGCGGCUGCUAGACCUGCCGGACCGCUACCUACAAUCGCCACUCUCUUCCUGUAAAGAGACAACGACGUGAGAAACAAACGACGUGAGUAAAACUUGUCCCUACAUACCCGGUUCGAUAAGCUGGCGGACGAGGAACCAUCCAACCUUCCUCAAAGGCUUUGUCGAUAAUGGUACACUCCAUCGUCUUAAUAGAGACCGGGUUCUCUAUAAUUCCCAAAACACAGGCACCCUCGCAAGGAGCAGGGCACACACGUCCCGUGAACUCUGGAAAGUUGUUGGUUUCCAGGAGCCUGUCCAAGGCUUCCCGCCAACGACCUUGGUGAACAAGUUCGUUCCAUUCCGGAAUCUUGUUUCCAAGGGGACAUCCACUAUUAUCCUGCAGAUACAAAGAGAUGACUAAAUAACAUAGAUGAACUGGAGGGGAAGUCAUACCUGGUUGCAGAAUGGAGUGCCGCAAUCCAUACACCGGGCAGACUGGGUUUUAAGGAGGUCAUCAUUCCUGGCGGUAGCAAGGACCUCAUUCCAGUCUUGCAUUCGUUCCUGGGCCGGGCGAUAUGGAAGUGUUUCUCGUUCAUACGAGAUAAAUCCCCGAUGCUUAACAGCGUCCGGAAUUUUUGUUGGCCGCGCUUUGGCCGGAGUCUGAAAACAAGGCAAGCACGUCAGAGUUGAAGGCGACAUGAAUAUUCAAUUUUACCUCGGCUACUGCAGCCGCUCCUCCGUUGGUAGCUGCUUCAGCCAUUUUCUUCAAUUCCUGGAAAGCAUCCACAGCGGCCAGUCGCGCUUCCUCCUCCUCUGCCGCUCUUUUCUUGGCCUUCUCCUCGUUGAGAGCUCUUUUGUAGUCGCAAGGGAAAACUUUCACGAACUUGGGAAGCGCAGAGUCAAACUCAUCGAGGAUUUGCUUUGCAUGCUGGCUUUUCGUGUGUCGCUGAUGCUGUUGAAUCAUAGCCCUCAAAGUCAACACAUCCUCGUCCUCAAGAACGUCUUCGAGGUCGACUUGUCCGGGGUUGCAUCGGAGCCUGAACUUUCCGUCCACAUCAUAUACGUAGGCUAUCCCCCCGCUCAUUCCAGCAGCAAAAUUCUUCCCCGUCUUCCCAAGAAUAACGACUGUGCCUCCAGUCAUGUAUUCACAGCCGUGAUCUCCAACGCCCUCCACGACUGCCUUUGCGCCGGAGUUUCUAACGCAGAACCGCUCAGCGGCCAUGCCGUUGAAAUACGCUUCACCACCUGUGGCCCCGUACAGAGCAACAUUCCCAAUGACGAUGUUCUCUUUGGGGUCAAAUCCGCUGUCCCUGGGAGGAUAAACCACGACCCUGCCUCCACAAAGUCCCUUCCCAACGUAGUCGUUGCUGUCACCUUCCAGCUCCAACGUAAUACCCCGACAUAGAAACGCGCCUAGACUCUGUCCUGCAUUUCCUGUAAGCUUGACGUGAAUGGUAUCAGCCGGAAGGCCUUCCAUCUUGUACUUCUUGGUGACUUCGUGACUGAGCAUGGUUCCUACGGCCCGAUUCACGUUCACAACGGGUGACUCCAGAUAUACCGGGUACCCGUUCUCUAGAGCAGGCUUAGAACCUUUGAUGAGUUGCUGAUCCAAAGCCAUGCCGAGAUCGUGAUCCUGCUUCUGCACGCAGCGUUGAGCAGCGUCGGGUCGAAUAUCAGCCGCAGGUCGAAGAAGAAGCGACAGAUCGAUGUUUUUCAGCUUCUCGUUGCUUGCUGUGACGGACUUGUCAACCUCUAGCAUGUCAGCCCGUCCAACCAUUUCGUCCAUCGUCCUGAAUCCCAUUUCGGCCAUAAGUUCACGAGCUUCCUCCGCUACCAUGAAGAAAAAGUUGAUCACGUCUUCGGGUUCUCCGGCAAACUUUUCCCGUAGUACCGGGUCUUGAGUAGCGAUUCCCACGGGACAAGUGUUCUUGUGGCACUUCCUCAUCAUGAUGCAGCCCAACGUAAUCAAUGGAGCAGUGCUGAAUCCAAAUUCUUCCGCUCCAAGCAGAGCAGCUAUCACAAUGUCCCGUCCAGUUUUCAGCUGUCCAUCAGUUUGCAAUGUGGUCCGUCCUCGAAGAUCAUUUGCAACUAGCGUCUGAUGAGUCUCUGCAAGACCAAGCUCCCACGGCAAGCCUGCAUUUUUUAUGCCAGUCCAGCGCGACGCACCGGUACCCCCUUCAUGGCCCGAAAUCAGGACGUGGUCUGCAUGGCCUUUCACGACCCCGCUGGCCACUACACCAAUGCCGGCUUCGGAAACUAGCUUCACGCUGAUACGAGCACCUGGAUUCGAAUUCUGCAACGAAAGGAAAAGUCACAACACGAAAAGAAAUAUGUCGAAAUAGCUUACCUUCAGAUCAUAAAUAAGCUGAGCAAGGUCUUCAAUCGAAUAGAUAUCAUGAUGUGGUGGAGGACUUAUCAAACCAACGCCCGGUGUAGAGUUUCUUGUUGUCGCAAUGUCUCCUAUAACCUUGUGGCCCGGAAGCUCACCUCCCUCUCCAGGUUUUGCUCCCUGCGAACAAAAGAAGAAAAAAGAAAUAAAAACGCCAAGUUACUUUACCAAAUAAACGAACCUGAGCCAUUUUGAUUUGAAGUUCAUCAGCAUUCGUAAGAUAAUAACUGGUGACUCCAAAUCUUCCACUGGCGACUUGCUUGAUAGCACUUCUUUUCGGGUUCAUCUGGCCGUUAGGCAACGCCUCCAGUCGAGAAGGAUUUUCACCUCCCUCACCUACAAAUUCGAGUUUAGGCGGGCUAGACGAUUUUUAACAGUAACUUACCGGUAUUAGAUUUUCCUCCGAUUUGGUUCAUUGCCAUCGCCAAAGUGGUGUGAGCCUCCAAGGAAAUAGAGCCGUAACUCAUAGCACCAGUACAGAAGCGCUUCACGAUUUCGCUGGCAGGCUCCACCUCCUCUAAUGCAACCGGAGUUUUGGAAGCUUUGAACUUCAACAUCCCACGCAGGCUGCAUUUUUUGUUCAGCUCGUAAAUCCGCUUCGAGUAGUCCUUGUAGGCUCCAACGCUGUUAGUCCGAGCAGCUUCCUGUAACUUUGCCAUCGCUAGCGGGUCAUUCAGAUGAAUCUCGCCAUCUUUCCUCCAGUGAUAGUCUCCGGGAUUUGGCAGAGCAUGAGCUUCAGCACUUCCCGGUGGCAGCUUGCGAGAGGGAAACGCCAGCUCAUGCAGUCGAAGCGAAUCCUUUGCAAGCAUCUCAAAUGUAGCACCCUCCACCCUGCUUGGUGUACCUCUGAAGCACCUCUGCACUACGUCCGAAGAGAGGCCAAGGGCUUCGAAGAUUUGAGCUCCUUUAUACGAUGCCAAAGUUGAAAUGCCCAUCUUGGCAAGGACCUUGAGAAUACCCGAAUUCGAAGCUUUGAAGUACUUCUGGACCAGCUCGUCUUUAGAACUUAGGACUCCAUUCUCCUUAGAUGGUAUUUUGCCAUCUACCUGUAACCUCCAGAUAGCUUCGACGGCCAGGUAGGGACAUAUCGCGUCUGCUCCAAAUCCCAGGAGUGUGCAGAAGUGAUGUACCUCCCUAGGCUCACCAGAUUCCACCACUAAACCAAUGCGCGUACGCUCAAGAGUUGAGACGAGAUGGUGAUGAACAGUUCCAACAGCCAAUAAAGAGCUCACUGGAACUCGUUCAGGAGAGGUUCCUGAUUCAUGAGCAGUAUAUAAGUGAUCUGAAGCUGAAAAGUGUAUGAUAAAAAAUACCUCUGUCCGAAAGAACCAGCAUUUUGAACCCCUUCGAUAUGGCUUUCCUGGCUUCCACACAUAUUCUGUCCAGAGCUUUCUCCAGACCAGUAGGUCCUUCCUCUCGUGGAAACGUGAUGUCAAUUAUUUUGCUCCGCCAACCCUGGUAGUUCAUCUUCUUCAGCGCUUCCAUUUCCAAAGGUGAUAUGAGCGGUCCCUUCAGAGAGAGCCGGUGGCAUUGCUCUUCUGUCGACUCCGUCAAAUCACCCUCCGGUCCGAUCAUGCACUCUGUCGAUGUGACGAUAGCUUCACGGAUAGGAUCUAUCGGCGGAUUUGUAACUUGAGCAAACAUCUGCUUGAAGUACUCGAAGCUGAGCUUUGGCCGAUCGGUCAUAACGGCCAACGGUGCGUCAUUUCCCAUCGAGCCAAGGGCCUCCACACCAUCUUUGGCCAUUGGAAGUAACAGCAUCUCGAGCGCUUCAACAGUGUACCUACACAAAGGUAUAAAACCAUCAGUGAAGGUGAUGGAGACCAGACCGGCUAGGACUCUGAUACCAAAUGUCUUGAACAGCCUUUGGCACUUGUUACUGUAUUUGCAGUGACGUGCUGAGGAUUUAACUUCCUAAUAGACCUUACAAGAGCAACCAAACAUAAGAAAAAAAAUGGAGAGAAGUAUACCCAA
rnacentral:lncRNA from 1 species